UACAGGGGGUGCAAACGUUGCUCGGAAUCAUUGGGCGUAAAGCGCACGUAGGCGGUUCGUUAUGUCGGAUGUGAAAGCCCUUGGCUUAACCGAGGAAGUGCAUCCGAAACUGGCGAGCUAGAGUACUAAAGAGGAUCGCGGAAUUCCCGGUGUAGAGGUGAAAUUCGUAGAUAUCGGGAGGAACACCGGUGGCGAAGGCGUCGAUCUGGGUAGAUACUGACGCUGAGGUGCGAAAGCGUGGGGAGCAAACAGG
rnacentral:rRNA from 1 species